rnacentral:rRNA from 1 species
UGAGGAACAUGACCUUCGGCGGGGGAUAGCCGGCCCAACGGCCGGGUAAUACCGCGUACGACCACAUGGGGACAUCCCUGAGUGGUGAAAGCAGCAAUGCGCCGAUGGAGUGCCUCGCGGCCUAUCAGCUAGUUGGUGAGGUAACGGCUCACCAAGGCAACGACGGGUANCUGGUCUGAGAGGAUGGCCAGCCACAUUGGGACUGAGACACGGUCCAGACCUGUACCGGGGAG